rnacentral:rRNA from 1 species
ACUCCUACGGGAGGCAGCAGUAGGGAAUAUUGGUCAAUGGGUGAGAGCCUGAACCCAGCCAUGCCGCGUGCAGGAAGACGGCCUUCUGGGUUGUAAACUGCUUUUACCAGGGGAUAAAACGACUCUGCGGAGUUAUUGAAGGUACCUGGAGAAUAAGCACCGGCUAACUACGUGCCAGCAGCCGCGGUAAUACGUAGGGUGCAAGCGUUGUCCGGAUUUAUUGGGUUUAAAGGGUGCGUAGGCGGGCUAUUAAGUCAGUGGUGAAAUCCAGCAGCUUAACUGUUGAUGUGCCAUUGAUACUGGUAGUCUGGUACAGAUGAGGUAGGCGGGAAGUUGACAGUGUGCGGUGAAAUGCAU